ACCCUUUAAUGUUUGAUGUUCUAACGUGGACCCGUGAUCCGGGUUGCGGACAGUGUCUGGUGGGUAGUUUGACUGGGGCGGUCUCCUCCUAAAGAGUAACGGAGGAGCACGAAGGUUGGCUAAUCCUGGUCGGACAUCAGGAGGUUAGUGCAAUGGCAUAAGCCAGCUUGACUGCGAGCGUGACGGCGCGAGCAGGUGCGAAAGCAGGUCAUAGUGAUCCGGUGGUUCUGAAUGGAAGGGCCAUCGCUCAACGGAUAAAAGGUACUCCGGGGAUAACAGGCUGAUACCGCCCAAGAGUUCAUAUCGACGGCGGUGUUUGGCACCUCGAUGUCGGCUCAUCACAUCCUGGGGCUGAAGUAGGUCCCAAGGGUAUGGCUGUUCGCCAUUUAAAGUGGUACGCGAGCUGGGUUUAGAACGUCGUGAGACAGUUCGGUCCCUAUCUGCCGUGGGCGCUGGAGAACUGAGGGGGGCUGCUCCUAGUACGAGAGGACCGGAGUGGACGCAUCACUGGUGUUCGGGUUGUCAUGCCAAUGGCACUGCCCGGUAGCUAAAUGCGGAAGAGAUAAGUGCUGAAAGCAUCUAAGCACGAAACUUGCCCCGAGAUGAGUUCUCCCUGAGACUUUAGGUCUCCUGAAGGAACGUUGAAGACGACGACGUUGAUAGGCCGGGUGUGUAAGCGCAGCGAUGCGUUGAGCUAACCGGUACUAAUGAACCGUGAG
rnacentral:rRNA from 1 species